AACGAACGCUGGCGGCAGGCUUAACACAUGCAAGUCGAACGCUCCGCAAGGAGAGUGGCAGACGGGUGAGUAACACGUGGGAACAUACCCUUUACUACGGAACAACUCCGGGAAACUGGAGCUAAUACCGUAUGUGCCCUUUGGGGGAAAGAUUUAUCGGUAAAGGAUCGACCCGCGUUGGAUUAGCUAGUUGGUGGGGUAAAGGCCUACCAAGGCGACGAUCCAUAGCUGGUCUGAGAGGAUGAUCAGCCACAUUGGGACUGAGACACGGCCCAAACUCCUACGGGAGGCAGCAGUGGGGAAUAUUGGACAAUGGGCGCAAGCCUGAUCCAGCCAUGCCGCGUGUGUGAUGAAGGCCUUAGGGUCGUAAAGCACUUUCACCGGAGAAGAUAAUGACGGUAUCCGGAGAAGAAGCCCCGGCUAACUUCGUGCCAGCCGCCGCUGUAA
rnacentral:rRNA from 1 species